rnacentral:rRNA from 1 species
ACGGUUGACCUCGGAUCAGGUAGGAA